rnacentral:snRNA from 1 species
UCGCUCAGGCCUCUCCUCAUGAUUUCGCAUUAAUCUUUCGCCUUUUACUAAAGAUUACCGUGGGGAGGGGCACUCAAAUGAGCCUAUAGGCCAAUUUUUGCGAGGCCCUUCCCGUUUGGGAGGGGC